rnacentral:rRNA from 1 species
UUCCAGACUCCUACGGGAGGCAGCAGUGGGGAAUAUUGCACAAUGGGGGGAACCCUGAUGCAGCGACGCCGCGUGAGGGAAGAAGGUUUUCGGAUUGUAAACCUCUGUCCUCUGUGACGAUAAUGACGGUAGCAGAGGAGGAAGCCACGGCUAACUACGUGCCAGCAGCCGCGGUAAUACGUAGGUGGCGAGCGUUAUCCGGAAUUACUGGGUGUAAAGGGAGCGCAGGCGGCGCGUUAAGCCUGGUGUGAAAGCCCGCGGCCCAACCGCGGGACUGCAUUGGGAACUGGCGCGCUGGAGUGCCGGAGGGGUAGGCGGAAUUCCUAGUGUAGCGGUGAAAUGCGUAGAUAUUAGGAGGAACACCAGUGGCGAAGGCGGCCUACUGGACGGUGACUGACGCUGAGGCUCGAAAGCGUGGGGAGCAAACAGGAUUAGAUACCCGUGUAA